GUGGGCUACGGGGACAUGCGCCCCGUCGGCGUCUGGGGCAAGAUCGUCGGCUCGCUGUGCGCCAUCGCGGGCGUGCUAACCAUCGCGCUGCCCGUGCCGGUCAUCGUGUCCAAC
rfam:Ixodes scapularis strain Wikel colony gcontig_1107728827854, whole genome shotgun sequence.